CCAAAGUGUUGGAAUUACAGGCGUGAACCACCAUGCCUGGCCAGCUCUAUUUCUUUAAGCCUACAUGUUUUGCACUUGUUAAAAGUAUUUGAAUAUACAAUUACUCAGUUUCCCUUGUUUAUGCUUGAAUUUUGUAUAAUCUUAAAUAUUUUUUCCAAUCUAAGCUUUAUUUUAUCCCGUUUCUUCUAUAUUUGUAUAACUUUAGGUGGCUAUCUUCAUUGAAAAUUUUUUCUCAAAAGCCUUAAAAUAGAACAUAGUUCUUGGCAGCAAUUUAAAGUUAUUUGAGGAGAAGGGGAGACUUACAAUGAUGCUUCAAUUGAAGCAAACUAAAAAGUAAUGAAGCAAGACAGAGGAAAAAGCAGUAUUCACUUGAGCACAUCCCAAAAGAAUAACAUUUCAAAUGUAACUAGAAAAAAGAUUGCUGAAGUUUGCAAUACAGAAAUAAUUAUUAAGAUAGCUUUAAAGCCCUGCUCAGCUUUUGAAUGUUGGGAAUUGACCCAGAGGUGGCUGUAAACUAAGAUGGUUCCUUCAGUAAUGACCAUUUUUUCUUUUUCAAGAUGAUGAUUAUUCCCCACCUUCUAGGACACAAAGACCAACGAGCCACCACAGCCACCAGUCCCAGAACCCGCUAAUGCUGGGGAACGGAAAAUGAGGGAGUUCAACUCUGGCCCUCACAAUCCAGUGGAGGAGACGAAACUCAUCUGCCUCUGUCCCUCUGGGCACGCCUCAUGCCAGGUGCAUCUGUGGACAGGGGCCAUGCUCCUGGGCUUCCAAAGUUGGAGAAAGCUGCCAGGCUCAGAGCCACCUAAGCUGAAGAUUCCCUUGAGAACAAGUACUGUCCUGCGGUUUCAUGGCCUUUCUUCCAUUUGUGGUUCUUGCGAAGUGGAAUUUAAAUGACAUCUUAUCAAGAUCGAUAAAUACUAGUUUCCCAGUGCUGGAAUAUAGAAAAUGGAUGGACAAGUAAAUCCCACUCAGCACCCAUAGUCCAGGCAUGGGGACCUCAACACACCUGAGCCCCAAACAUCACCUUUCAUUCUGGACCUACCAUGAAAGACUUCUGAAUCCAGGAAGAGAAACUGACUGGGCAACAUGUUAUUCAGAAACAGGACCUUGCCCUGUCACUCAGGAUGGAGUUCAAUGGUCCUAUCAUGGCUCAUUAUAGCCUUAAACUCCCAGGCUCAAGCAAUCCUACCAUGUCAGCCUUCCCAGUAGCUGGGACUACAGGAAGUGACCUCACAAUGACUCAAGCUACCACAUACUGUUGAUUGUGAAAUGCCAGUUGAAGCAUAUGUCCUGCGAGCUUAGGGGUGCUACAAGUUGACCACUGCAGCAGUAAAGAUGACUCUGAAGAAUGGCAUGGGAUGGAUCCUUUCGAAUGCACUUGAGCAGCGGUCUCCAACCACAGGGCCACAGAGCUGGAGAUGGACAGUCUAGUUGCAGGAGAACAAGCUCAGAGAUCCCACUGAGUCUACGUUAUACUGGAUCUACCAUGAAAGACUUCUGAAUCCAGGAAGAGAGACUGACUGGGCAACAUGUUAUUCAGGGUCUCCCUCUGUUGUCCAAGGCUGGAGUGUAGUAGUGCUA
rnacentral:lncRNA from 1 species